GUGGGUAUAGCUCAAUGGAAGAGCAUGUGCUUAGCAUGCAUGAGGUCCUGGGUUCAAUUUCCUGUACCUCCA
rnacentral:tRNA from 1 species